CCUACGGGUGGCUGCAGUGGGGGAUAUUGCACAAUGGGGGGAACCCUGAUGCAGCGACGCCGCGUGGGUGAAGAAGCGCCUCGGCGUGUAAAGCUCUGUCAGUAGGGAAGUAAAGGACGGUACUUGAAGAAUAAGACCCGGCGAAUAACGUGCCAGCAGCCGCGGCAAUACGUAGGGGGCAGGCGUGAUCCGGCUUUACUGGGCGUAAUGGGAGCGCAGGCGGCACGGCAAGCCAGAUGUGAAAGGCGGCGGCCCAACCGCGGGACUGCAUUGGACACGACCGGGCUGGAGUGCAGGAGAGGUAGGCGGAAUGCCUGGUGUAGCGGUGAAAUGCGUAGAUAUUAGGAGGAACACCAGUGGCGAAGGCGGCCUACUGGACGGUGACUGACGCUGAGGCUCGAAAGCGUGGGGAGCAAACAGGAUUAGAUACCCUUGUAGUC
rnacentral:rRNA from 1 species